rnacentral:miRNA from 1 species
UGAACUAAACAUUUGGGGGCAUUGAUAUUUUCAAAGCAGCAUCUAGAGAGAGUGUCUCUGUGUCUCUUCCACAGUGGUG